rnacentral:rRNA from 1 species
UACAGAGGCCCCAAGCGUUACUGAGAAUCACUGGGUUUAAAGGGUGCGUAGGUGGCGCGUUAAGUCCGUUGUGAAAGCCCUGGGCUCAACCCAGGAACUGCUUCGGAUACUGGCGCGCUUGAGGCUAGUAGGGGUCACUGGAACUGACGGUGGAGCGGUGAAAUGCGUAGAUAUCGUCAGGAACGCCAAUGGUGAAGACAGGUGACUGGGCUAGUUCUGACACUGAGGCACGGAAGCGUGGGGAGCGAACGGG